GGUAGUCCACCCCGUAAACGUUGGGAACUAGUUGUGGGGACCGUACCACGGUUUCCGUGACGCAGCUAACGCAUUAAGUUCCCCGCCUGGGGAGUACGGCCGCAAGGCUAAAACUCAAAGGAAUUGACGGGGACCCGCACAAGCGGCGGAGCAUGCGGAUUAAUUCGAUGCAACGCGAAGAACCUUACCAAGGCUUGACAUAUACGAGAACGGGCCAGAAAUGGUCAACUCUUUGGACACUCGUAAACAGGUGGUGCAUGGUUGUCGUCAGCUCGUGUCGUGAGAUGUUGGGUUAAGUCCCGCAACGAGCGCAACCCUCGUUCUAUGUUGCCAGCACGUAAUGGUGGGAACUCAUGGGAUACUGCCGGGGUCAACUCGGAGGAAGGUGGGGAUGACGUCAAAUCAUCAUGCCCCUUAUGUCUUGGGCUUCACGCAUGCUACAAUGGCCGGUACAAAGGGCUGCAAUACCGUGAGGUGGAGCGAAUCCCAAAAAGCCGGUCCCAGUUCGGAUUGAGGUCUGCAACUCGACCUCAUGAAGUCGGAGUCGCUAGUAAUCGCAGAUCAGCAACGCUGCGGUGAAUACGUUCCCGGGUCUUGUACACACCGCCCGUCAAGUCAUGAAAGUCGGUAACACCUGAAGCCGGUGGCCCAACCCUUGUGGAGGGAGCCGUCGAAGGUGGGAUCGGUAAUUAGGACUAAGUCGUAACAAGGUAGCCGUACCGGAAGGUGC
rnacentral:rRNA from 1 species